rnacentral:rRNA from 1 species
CCUACGGGUGGCAGCAGUGAGGAAUAUUGGUCAAUGGACGAGAGUCUGAACCAGCCAAGUAGCGUGAAGGAUGACUGCCCUAUGGGUUGUAAACUUCCUUUAUAUGGGAAUAAAAUGUUCCACGUGUGGGAUUUUGUAUGUACCAUAUGAAUAAGGAUCGGCUAACUCCGUGCCAGCAGCCGCGGUAAUACGGAGGAUCCGAGCGUUAUCCGGAUUUAUUGGGUUUAAAGGGAGCGUAGGUGGAUUGUUAAGUCAGUUGUGAAAGUUUGCGGCUCAACCGUAAAAUUGCAGUUGAAACUGGCAGUCUUGAGUACAGUAGAGGUGGGCGGAAUUCGUGGUGUAGCGGUGAAAUGCUUAGAUAUCACGAAGAACUCCGAUUGCGAAGGCAGUUCACUGGACUGCAACUGACACUGAGGCUCGAAAGUGUGGGUAUCAAACAGGAUUAGAUACCCUUGUAGUC